rnacentral:rRNA from 1 species
UACGGGGGGAGCAAACGUUGUUCGGAAUCACUGGGCGUAAAGGGCGCGUAGGCGGCCGCCUAAGUCAGACGUGAAAUCCCUCAGCUUAACUGGGGAACUGCGUCUGAUACUGGAUGGCUUGAGUUUGGGAGAGGGAUGCGGAAUUCCUGGUGUAGCGGUGAAAUGCGUAGAUAUCAGGAGGAACACCGGUGGCGAAGGCGGCUUUCUGGACAGUAACCGACGCUGAGGCGCGAAAGCUAGGGGAGCAAACAGG